rnacentral:rRNA from 1 species
GUGAACGCUGGCGGUAGGCCUAACACCUGCAAGUCGAACGGCAGCACAGUAAGAGCUUGCUCUUACGGGUGGCGAGUGGCGGACGGGUGAGGAAUACAUCGGAAUCUACUUUUUCGUGGGGGAUAACGUAGGGAAACUUACGCUAAUACCGCAUACGACCUACGGGUGAAAGCAGGGGAUCUUCGGACCUUGCGCGAUUGAAUGAGCCGAUGUCGGAUUAGCUAGUUGGCGGGGUAAAGGCCCACCAAGGCGACGAUCCGUAGCUGGUCUGAGAGGAUGAUCAGCCACACUGGAACUGAGACACGGUCCAGACUCCUACGGGAGGCAGCAGUGGGGAAUAUUGGACAAAGGGCGCAAGCCUGAUCCAGCCAUACCGCGUGGGUGAAGAAGGCCUUCGGGUUGUAAAGCCCUUUUGUUGGGAAAGAAAAGCAGCAGGUUAAUACCCCGCUGUUCUGACGGUACCCAAAGAAUAAGCACCGGCUAACUUCGUG